AGGGAUACUCCCUCCCACACUCUCUCUACAUUUCUUCAGUCAUUUGAUUCAUUCUUUAUUUCCCUCUUUAUUUUAUUUAGAGGCUUUUUUUUGUUGGGUGCAAUCCUCUCCCCUCUUCUUACUCCAUUUACUGUCCUCUUCUUUUUCUUUUCUAACCAAACCAAGCUGAUCUAUCCCUUCUUUUAUUUCUUUGCUGAGGCUGUAUACUCAUAACUAAAAUGCAUUUUUUUCUGAAGCGGGAGUGAAGCAAUGAAGUAUAUGAAGAUGUUCGUGUGAACAUGGAGUACAAUGUACACAUACUUGUAGAUAUCUGAUGUUAUUUGUGUACUUAUACGUAGUCUCCUCUAUCCGUCUCUUUAACUUUGAAAAAGAGAAUGGCGAUGAACCAACUCUCUGCUCGAAUGAAAAGUGGACAAGGAGUCAUUCAUCUCCACUGUCCACGACUGAGAGAAAAUGGCAGAGACCAACAUGCAGCAUACAAACAACAUAAUAGGUGUAGUACUGAUGGGAAACAAUCAUUGGUGUGUAAAUAUUGGAUUCCAUGUGCAAAUGUGCGGCAUACUUUUUCUACACCACAUGCAUUCCCAACUACUAGUCUCUUAACUAAUCUUGAGCAAUGAAACCAUUUCCC
rnacentral:lncRNA from 1 species